rnacentral:rRNA from 1 species
CGAACGCUGGCGGCGUGCUUAACACAUGCAAGUCGAGCGGUAAGGCCCUUUCGGGGGUACACGAGCGGCGAACGGGUGAGUAACACGUGGGUGACCCGCCCUCAGCUCUGGGAUAAGCCUGGGAAACUGGGUCUAAUACUGGAUAUGACUCCACGGUGCAUGUCGUGGGGUGGAAAGCCUUGUGCGGCUGAGGAUGGGCCCGCGGCCUAUCAGCUUGUUGGUGGGGUGAUGGCCACCAAGGCGACGACGGGUAGCCGGCCUGAGAGGGCGACCGGCCACACUGGGACUGAGACACGGCCCAGACUCCUACGGGAGGCAGCAGUGGGGAAUCUUGCGCAAUGGGCGAAAGCCUGACGCAGCGACGCCGCGUGAGGGAUGACGGCCU